AUAAAACUUAAAUGUUAAACCAGACAGUAUAUAUUGUGGGAAGUGUUUUCUGAAUUGUAGUGCAAAAGGUGUGUGUGACUGGACAGAAAGAAUGUGAAAGUGCAUGCUGCUUUUUCAUAAAGAAAAAAGCAAAAUACACGGGUUAACUCAUAAUAUCUGAUUUGGAGUUUCUUAAUUAUAGUCAGGCAGCAGAAUUUGGAAACAAGAGCAAAUAUUAACCUGUUCUUAUAAAUUUUCACAUAAUGUAACAUUUAUUCUUUCAUACAUAAAUUCAACAAAUAUUUAUUGAUUGCUCUAUGCACUCAGAAAAAUGGAAAGAAAACAAAUCUAGGAAAACAAAUUAAGAGCCAGCAAAUAAAUUAAUAACUAUUUAAAAUUAAGGAUUCAAAAAAGUGAUAAUUUUUAGGAAAAUAAAUUACCCUGAAUAAUUCAAUGAAGAGCACAAUAAAAUGUGUCGCACUGGGAUGGACAUGCUAGACAUUGUUGUCGAAAACUCCAGUCUAUUCGAUGGCAAAUUGUUCAAAGUUUACAAAUAUGAGAUGCUUCUUGAGGACCUAGGGGAAGAAUGUUCAGAAACUCCGAAAGUACUUACAAGAGCCACAAUAGAGGGAGCAAGUCUGGCAAGAUCGAGAAAUAGCUAGGGAGUGCAGAUGGCUAAACACAAAGUGAGGAUGAGAGCACCAGGAAUUAAGCUUGGAGAAUUGAGAGAACUGAGACUGAAGUGAAGAAAGCAAAUGAAUUUUAUUCCUUUUUGUUUUUGUUUUUGUUUUUUUGAGACAGAGUCUUGCUCUGUUGCCAGGCGCCAAGCUGGAAUGCAGUGGCGGGAUCUCGGCUCACUGCGACCUCCACCUCCCGAGUUCAAACACUUCUCCUGCCUCAGCCUCCUGAGUAGCUGGGACUACAGAUGGAGUUUCGCUCUUUCACCCAGAUUGGAGUGCAGUCUUGUGAUCUCGGCUCACUGAAACCUCCACCUCCUGGUUUCAAGAUAUUCUCUUGCCUCAGCCUCCCGAGUAGCUGGGAUAACAGAAAAACUUGGAAGCGAAUUCAUUUUACUAUCAAGUAAGCUAUGGCUAUCUACACAGGAGAACUCUAUGCAGCUCUAUAUUUUUAACCGUGAAAAAAAUCUCUGUAUAUGGAAAAAAACAUCUUUUAGGAUUUAUAGGUAAGUAGAAAAAGUGAGCUGUAAAAUAGCAUAUAUGUAACAUUACAUUUUGUGUAAGAGACAAGAAGAACCUAUUUUAAAUAAUUUAAACAACUAAAUAUUGGAAAAAUGAGCACUAUAAUAAUAACAAUAAUAAAAGCAUCUAGAAUGCCAGCGGAUGGGGUACAUGCAUAUAAGUUUGAAGCAAUA